CCCAAAAGUUAUUUUCACACUUAAACUAUCCUAGCGACCCAUUACACACCUAAUAUAUGAAAAAGUGAUAUUUUUUACUCCCUCAUAUAAUAUGACCAGUUGCACUAGGGGAGAGUGUACACACUCUCUCCCCACAUCAGCGCCACGUCAGUCCACAUCAGCGCCACGUCAAAAAAUCCUCUAAUUUUUAAUUUUAUAUUUUUUUUCCUUUCCCCUCCUCCCCCACCCUCCCUUUCUUCUUUAUCCCUACUCCCUUUCUUUUUCACACUUUCAGCUCAAAUAUGAAAUUGCUCCCAGUGACACUGCUCUAAAUUUGUAAAUCUUUAUUCUAUUGAUUGGUAAUUUGUUCAACUGGAAGCAAUGGUACUGACCAACUUCAAUGAACCAGUGUCGGUUUUGGUGCUGGCAUUGGUUGUGGAUUUGGGGUAGGAUGGGGUUUUGGAGCUAUACCAAAAUACACCAAGCUUCUGUGGCUGGAGUGGUUAUUCGGUGUGGCUCUGCCUCUGCCAGCCCAGGUUUGAAUCUAGCUAACCACAUUAUUUUUCUUAUAUAUUUUUUCUAGCUUCUUCUCCUUGUAUUUUGAGUGUAUCUGAGUAUAUUUCGUCAUAUGUAUUUGGCUCAUAUUGUAUCUCAUAUGUAUUUGGCCUGAGUGUAUUUCGUCAUAUAUAUUUGCCUCAUAUUGUAUUUGAUAUGUA